rnacentral:rRNA from 1 species
CCUACGGGGGGCAGCAGUGAGGAAUAUUGGUCAAUGGACGCAAGUCUGAACCAGCCAUGCCGCGUGCAGGAUGACGGCUCUAUGAGUUGUAAACUGCUUUUGUACGAGGGUAAACCCCGAUACGUGUAUCGGGUUGAAAGUAUCGUACGAAUAAGGAUCGGCUAACUCCGUGCCAGCAGCCGCGGUAAUACGGAGGAUCCGAGCGUUAUCCGGAUUUAUUGGGUUUAAAGGGUGCGUAGGCGGUUUGAUAAGUUAGAGGUGAAAUGUCGGGGCUCAACCCCGAAACUGCCUCUAAUACUGUUGGACUAGAGAAUAGUUGCGGUAGGCGGAAUGUAUGGUGUAGCGGUGAAAGGCUUAGAGAUCAUACAGAACACCGAUUGCGAAGGCAGCUUACCAAACUAUAUCUGACGUUGAGGCACGAAAGCGUGGGUAGCAAACAGGAUUAGAUACCCGAGUAGUC